CCUGGGUAGAGACUGGGGCUCGGA
rnacentral:piRNA from 1 species